GGGCUGGGGCUCAGUGGUAGAGUGCUUGCCUAGCAUGCUUGUGGCACUGAGUUCAAUCCUCAGCACUACA
rnacentral:tRNA from 1 species